CCUACGGGUGGCAGCAGUGGGGAAUAUUGGACAAUGGGGGGAACCCUGAUCCCGCGACGCCGCGUGAGUGAAGAAGUAUUUCGGUAUGUAACGCUCUAUCAGCAGGGAAUAAAAUGACGGUACCUUACUAAGAAUCCCCGGCUAACUACGUGCCAGCAGCCGCGGUAAUACGUAGGGGGCAAGCGUUAUCCGGAUUUACUGGGGUUAAAGGGAGCGUCGACGGUGCAGCCAGUCUGAUGUGGAAGGUCGGGGCCCAACCCCGGGACUGCAUUGGAAACUGUUGAACUGGAGUACAGGAGGGGUAAGCGGAAUGUCUAGGGUAGCGGGGAAAUGCGUAGAUAAUAGGAGGAACACCAGUGGCGAAGGCGGCUUACUGGACUGUAACUGACGUUGAGGCUCGAAAGCGUGGGGAGCAAACAGGAUUAGAUACCCGAGUAGUC
rnacentral:rRNA from 1 species